rnacentral:rRNA from 1 species
CGGACGGGUGAGUAAUGUCUGGGAAACUGCCUGAUGGCGGGGGAUAACUACUGGAAACGGUAGCUAAUACCGCAUAACGUCGCAAGACCAAGAGGGGGACCUUCGGGCCUCUUGCCAUCGGAUGUGCCCAGAUGGGAUUAGCUAGUAGGUGGGGUAAUGGCUCACCUAGGCGACGAUCCCUAGCUGGUCUGAGAGGAUGACCAGCCACACUGGAACUGAGACACGGUCCAG